UUUGAAUCUAAGGGCGUGACAC
rnacentral:siRNA from 1 species